rnacentral:rRNA from 1 species
CUACGGGCCGCUCCAGUGGGGAAUCUUAGACAAUGGGGGAAACCCUGAUCUAGCCAUGCCGCGUGAGCGACGACGGCCCUAGGGUUGUAAAGCUCUUUCAGCAGGGAAGAUAAUGACGGUACCUGCAGAAGAAGUCCCGGCUAACUCCGUGCCAGCAGCCGCGGUAAUACGGAGGGGACUAGCGUUGUUCGGAAUUACUGGGCGUAAAGCGCGCGUAGGCGGAUUGUUAAGUCGGGGGUGAAAUCCCGGGGCUCAACCCCGGAACUGCCCUCGAUACUGGCAGUCUUGAGUUCGAGAGAGGUGAGUGGAAUUCCGAGUGUAGAGGUGAAAUUCGUAGAUAUUCGGAGGAACACCAGUGGCGAAGGCGGCUCACUGGCUCGAUACUGACGCUGAGGUGCGAAAGCGUGGGGAGCAAACAGGAUUAGAUACCCGAGUAGUC